AGUGAACGCUGGCGGUAGGCCUAACACAUGCAAGUCGAACGGCAGCACAGUAAGAGCUUGCUCUUACGGGUGGCGAGUGGCGGACGGGUGAGGAAUACAUCGGAAUCUACUUUUUCGUGGGGGAUAACGUAGGGAAGCUUACGCUAAUACCGCAUACGACCUACGGGUGAAAGCAGGGGAUCUUCGGACCUUGCGCGAUUGAAUGAGCCGAUGUCGGAUUAGCUAGUUGGCGGGGUAAAGGCCCACCAAGGCGACGAUCCGUAGCUGGUCUGAGAGGAUGAUCAGCCACACUGGAACUGAGACACGGUCCAGACUCCUACGGGAGGCAGCAGUGGGGAAUAUUGGACAAUGGGCGCAAGCCUGAUCCAGCCAUACCGCGUGGGUGAAGAAGGCCUUCGGGUUGUAAAGCCCUUUUGUUGGGAAAGAAAAGCAGCAGGUUAAUACCCCGCUGUUCUGACGGUACCCAAAGAACAAGCACCGGCUAACUUCGUG
rnacentral:rRNA from 1 species